rnacentral:rRNA from 1 species
UGGUAGUAAAAAAUUUUUAAACCUAUUUAAUACGACGGCAUUUUAUUUUAUUAGAGGAAUCUGUUUACUAAUCGAUAAUACACGUUAAUUUUCACUUUAAAUAAAAAUUUAUAUACCGCCAUCUAAAGAAUUAAAUUUUAUAAUUUAUUCCUAAAAACAACUAAAAAGUUAGGUCAAGGUGUAAUUAACUUUAAUAGAACUUAAUGGAUUACAUUAAAUAAAUUUAAGGAAUUAUUAACUAAUUAAUAAAGAAAAAGGAUUUAAAAGUAAUAAUUUAAUAAUAUUUAAUUAUUAAUAAAAUAAUAAAUGUGU